rnacentral:piRNA from 1 species
UGCUUUUGAUGAUGAAUUUUGCUGCUGC